CGCACGUCUAAAAUUAAAUUGUUGAUAUUAGCAAAAAAUAUGAUGAAAUGAGAAUAUAUAUAGCAAUGAUAGGAAAUAAUAUAAAAUUAUUGUUACCGAAGAAAGAAAUUGUUUUGUAAUUUAGAAAAAUAUUAGAGUUCGUGUUUGAUUUCUUGUUACGCAUUUCUAGAAAAAUAUAGAACGUAACGUAGCAUAAAUAAGGAACAGUCAUCAGGUGGUUCAUAAGCAAUUAACUCUACUAUUCCACAGAAUUGACGCAAUAUGCAAGAAAGCUGUGAGCUAACGGAUAUCCGCGUACUGUGAAUCUUAAAUAACGACGUAGAUCUACCUAAUUAAUCAAUAGCUACGAGAUGUUUUGUGUCCGCUUUUAUACGCCUUCAAAACUGAAAACGCUCCUAAAGACGUUUCAAAACAUCUUUAUGAUUAUUUAGAAAAAUGUACAAAAUAUGCGUAACACAUUAUUUGGAAAAAAUGAAACAGAAAGAUAUUUCUCAUAAAUAUGAAAAAUUUAAAUAGCUGAAACUAUAUAAAUAGUGAAAAUAGUUUUUUCUCUUUAAAACAGUCAUUAAAAACAUUUAGUUCCCCGCAAAAAAAUUGAUAUCUUCUAAUAGAUUCUCUCAAUAAACGUUAAGAAAAUAACGCGUAGAGGUCUCUGAACGAUCUUGUAGAAUUAAUUAUCCGCUGCGUCCGUGUUCUCCAUAACGCCAUCAUUAGCGGAUCAUGCGGCCUUAAGGACCGCAGAAACUCAUAUGAUGAUCCUUAAUUUGCUUAGCCUCCAGACACUAAAGGCGUUCUCCAAAUGGGGCAAGAUUUUACUUUUAGACAAGCUGAUAUUAUCGCGUUCAUUUAAAUGAUCACACGCAGACCGACAUCGUAUACGAGACAGUUCAAACGAGUUUCUCUCUCUCUUUCUCUCCCGUCUACUUGUUGCACCAGCUUAGUCACGAUAAGGGAAACUCGGUCUAUUGAUUUUGCAUCGGCCUUAAAGCGAUGAGAUUUUGUAGCGGUACACGUGGAUAUCCCUUCUUGAGACCGAUCUCCAUUGUUCUUUGGAAUGUUUGCGUGAUAUCAAACGGUCAGUUUAUUUCUGAUUUUCGCCUCUAUCUUCACCCUGUUGGCCAAUUACAAAUUUCUUAUCAUCCUGAAAGAGAAGCAAACGAGUGAGACCAAAUAUUAUUUCUGUUUCUUUUCUUCGCCUUUAUCUCCUAUAUAAUUAUUUCACAAAAAGAUACCAAUAUGUUCGUUGUCAUUCCCAACGUUUUCAGGUCUUUGAAAGAAUUCUUCUAUGUGUUAGGUGUUUAAAGUUGAGAUUUUUGAAAGAAUUAUUCAGCCUGCAAUUUUAUCACGUACUUGGACGAUUUCCGGGAAGAUCGAGACGAUUCCUUGAGUGACGCGUGCCGAAGGUUUUUCCGUCGAAGACAAUGCCCUAGGUCGGAGGGACAACUGGAACGCCGUGAGAGGGUGGGAGUGCGGAGAAGUAGCUCCUAUAUUAAAUCAUGGCGAGGCCACUUCCCAAAGUCAGUUCUACGUUGAACGCUCAGCCAAGAAACUCUUCAUCGGUGACUCUUUUCCGAUCCUUUUAUCGAGCAACACGUUAUCAUCUCUUCUUCUACUUUACUGUAAAGAUAUCCUUGUGAAUAGUAUAUAUUCCUCAAUACAAUCAAGUAUAAAGUAAAAGAAGAAAAUAAAAGAAUUUUUCAAAUAUUACACUGAAGUCUCAAGCUGGUGACUACGUUCUUCAACUAAAUUAUCUCGUGUAUCAAGAGAGAGUAGAAGAAGUAGCUUCCGACGUCUAUCUACAACAAUUUCGGGCAUGAAGUUAACAGCGUGGAAUUCUAUGUGCAUCCUGAUAGCUGUCUUCUUCCUAACGGUUGCCACGUCUGCAUAUCCUGCUAGCAAUCCAGAGAUAAAAAUUCGAUCUCGUACGCCGCUGUCGGAAUUACCGUUUAGGAAGGAAACACUGACAAACACAAACUCAUCGCAAUCCCGUAUGGACGACCGCAACGAAUAAGUCACAAUAUUUCAAGUUUUAUCGACCAGCUGUUCUAAAUGUUCUGCUGCAAAUACUUAAACUCAUAUAAAAAUGAAAUGAGAUGUGGCACGUCAUAAUAACACUUUGGAAUUCCUUAUGAUCUUAGUUGAUAAAUGGAACUUGCAUAGAUUUUAAUUUAAUUCUUCACGUCUCGUUAUUUAUUGCAAGACUGUAUUUCUAAGACUUCAAAAUUUAUCUUCAUCUUUUAAUUUGUAUAAAAUAGAAACGGGAAAGAAGAUAGGUAAAAAGAUGAGAAUAUCUUAUGGGAUUAACAGUUUCCAUUUUCCUAAGAUUAAAACUUCACUAAAAAUUACUACAUAUUGUAUUAAGUUAUUAAUAUUACUUGUACUUUUAUGUUUCCUACUUAAUUAUUUAUACUAUAUUUUACGAGAAAUUGUGUAUAUAUAAACGCUCUUUGAUCUCAUUGUAAAAUGAGAAUAUGUUCUAGAAUAAAAUUAUUUUUUCUAUCACGAAAUUAUUUUGAAAUGAAUAUCACCUACCUGUCGAAUCAUACAUCCGCUAAUUAUAAACAUAAAUUGCAAAGGUAUAU